rnacentral:rRNA from 1 species
UACGUAGGGUGCGAGCGUUGUCCGGAAUUAUUGGGCGUAAAGGGCUCGUAGGCGGUCUGUCGCGUCGGGAGUGAAAACUCAGGGCUUAACCCUGAGCCUGCUUCCGAUACGGGCAGACUAGAGGUAUGCAGGGGAGAACGGAAUUCCUGGUGUAGCGGUGAAAUGCGCAGAUAUCAGGAGGAACACCGGUGGCGAAGGCGGUUCUCUGGGAAUGUCCUGACGCUGAGGAGCGAAAGCGUGGGUAGCAAACAGG